AUUGAACGCUGGCGGCAUGCCUUACACAUGCGAGUCGAACGGCAGCACGGGUGCUUGCACCUGGUGGCGAGUGGCGAACGGGUGAGUAAUACAUCGGAACAUGUCCUGUAGUGGGGGAUAGCCCGGCGAAAGCCGGAUUAAUACCGCAUACGAUCUACGGAUGAAAGCGGGGGACCUUCGGGCCUCGCGCUAUCGGGUUGGCCGAUGGCUGAUUAGCUAGUUGGUGGGGUAAAGGCCUACCAAGGCGACGAUCAGUAGCUGGUCUGAGAGGACGACCAGCCACACUGGGACUGAGACACGGCCCAGACUCCUACGGGAGGCAGCAGUGGGGAAUUUUGGACAAUGGGCGAAAGCCUGAUCCAGCAAUGCCGCGUGUGUGAAGAAGGCCUUCGGGUUGUAAAGCACUUUUGUCCGGAAAGAAAUCCUUGGCCCUAAUACGGUCGGGGGGAUGACGGUACCGGAAGAAUAAGCACCGGCUAACUACGUG
rnacentral:rRNA from 1 species